rnacentral:lncRNA from 1 species
ACCCUAACCCUAAAACUUGGUUCAAGUCAUACCUUGCUGUGGAACACAUGGUUCAGCAGAGGGGGACAAAAAGAGCUCAUUCAAGGUACACUUGUGUGUUUUAUUUUUUAUUUUAUUUUAUUUUAUUUAUUGAUAAACUUGAUAGAUGCCAUCCCAACUUGCUAUGUGUGAACAGGUCCUUCUGGUUGCAUUAUUUAGGGUGAGGACCGAGAAUGGGGAUUAGGGAGCCAUGGCUUUGCUGUAGUGUCAUAAUCCCUUUUCUUAAGGGGGCUCAGCCAAGCUGGCAACUUUUGUCCAAAGAUGAUAAAAAGCGCCCUUGGAAACCGGGUUUGUCAUGGUUUAUGGCUUAGAAUGCCCACAAUCCCAGUUUUAGGGCAUGACAACGUCUGUGUUGUUUUUUUUUAAUAUUACUUUAGGGUUUUGAGAUUAUGUUGUUGGAUUGAAGCUCAUGCCUUACAAAAAUUGGAUAUAUAAACUCCAAAAUGCCCAAGCAUUGCUCAAGUUGUGGAGACCAGGUGUUGGCAUUUUUGGCAAUGGUUGUCUCAACUUGGGGGCAUGUUUUGCAUGCAAAAAGUCUUUGUCUAUGGGAAGGACAAAGCCAUAGCUUCAUCCACCAUAAAUGAGGUUUUUUGAAUGGAAAUAGUCGAUUUUGAUAUCAAGAUUUUAAAAUGUUAUAUAUGGUGCAAUAUAUUAGGUGGUGUGAUUUAGACAUUGUGAACUACAACUAUUUAUGUACACAAACACUUAGAAACAAAGUUGCAUACAUGCUAUAGUUUUAGUAUGUACACUUUUUGUAUUUUGUUAUUGAUUAUUGAUCUUUGCUCUAUUCAUUAAUGUUUGUAACUACCUCACUAGAUACCAUCUUCUGUUGUGCCAUCAAAAAUGGUUGUUACACCUUUAGAUUUGUCAAGAAAUCAAGGUAGAAUUAAAUGAAUAUGU